AUCACACUGGCUUACACAGCGAUGCCAGUUUGAAUUACGGUUUGGCAAUGCAGACUGGCGUCUCCUCGACCGAUUGGCCAAUGAUUGGAACGCAGAAGUUCAGUAGCUAUUUUGUCUUAACAAAAACGAUUUAUGUUGGAGGUGGUGUUAGUGGCAGGAAGAUCGCCGUAAGGGCAAUUGUAGUUAAAGACAAUCGAGCGAAAGUUCCAGGUUGCCAACAACAUUUCUUCAAACUUUUCAACCCAACUACCACUGCGGUCCGAUUGAUCCAAUCGGAGACGUGCAUCAAUGAGAUUCUGUGUUCGCAAGCCUGCAUUAACCAUCCAACGUGCAACGGAUUAAGUUUUGAUACAUCCACACAGAUUUGUUACUUUUACUUGGCCAUUCAGACUAUGACAACUCAACCUGUCCUUGCAAAACCGAUAUACGCGCAAAUGAAAUAAACAUACUCCGCGCAGUUAUAGAAGCGUGACAAGGUGGUUCUACUAUAUUGUGUUUUGUCUCUGUGGAGAAAUCCCGCAUAAAAUCUGACGUCAAUAAUUUAAUUUGAAAUCAGAGUGGAAUAGAAUUAACAAAAAGGUAUGAUUUUGGUGGCAGUUCGUUUCAAUUCCCUGAAAAUCUACUUGCGUUAUAUUUGUCGGUCUCCUCAUCCUAAAGAAAUGUAUUCGUUGGAUUCCUGGAAUUUUCCUUAGGACUCGCACUACCAAUCAUAAUUAAUGAUACAGGGGGUUAAUUAGUGGUCAUCAGUUGACUUGGUGUGAUUCAGUUAUCAGUACAUUGCUCGUCUUGCAAGUCACAUAAAUCUGAAUGCACCAUGAGAUAAUUAGAGUUAGUGGCGACAUAUCGGGCAAUAUGAAUAAAAGAGAGUAUUUACUAGCUAGUAGAAGUAAGCAGUAAAAGCAUCUACUUGUUAGUAUAUACUAUAAGUAAAAGUAAAUACUCCAUUUCGUAUGAAUAAACUUUUACUUUUACAUUGUACUUCAAAGCAGUUACUUCUACUCGACUAGUAUGUACUUGUUGAUGUCCUGAGCUCAGAUCUUUCUUUGUUUCUCAGGUCACUUGGGAUAAUACUAUGUAUUGCAAUGCGUUAGAUGUUCCGUAUUGUUUUUCAUAGAUCAUGUAAAUAGAUCAGGCACAUCCUGAACUGUGUAUAUAGAAGGUCCAGGAUUGAAUAGAAAUGUCAGAUACUGAGGAUUCUUUGGAUUUAUCUACAAAUGCGGCUUGUGACAAACAGGAAACCUUUGUCCAAAUUCUGAAGGAUAAUGCAAUUCUUUUGAGCAAGUCGCAAAUACCCAGUGUAAAAAAAAGAAGGCACAAGCAAUGGUGAAUCUAAUUGCCGAGUACCAGAGAAAAACUGGAAUUAAAAUGACUGACAAACAAAUCUCCAAAACAUUGAACAACAUGAAAAACGACGUUAAGGGGAAGGCUGACGUGACGAGGACUGGAAAUCGCCCAAUAAAGCUGAAAAAUUGAGAUAAGGUGCUUUUCGAACUGUUGGAUGCCGAGUCAAAUCCAUCUCUAAGUUGCACACCAAGUGGCCUUGGUGUGUGCAUAGGAACCAAGCGCUCAGCAUCUCUGACUCUUUCUAGUGGAACAGCU